rnacentral:rRNA from 1 species
GACGAACGCUGGCGGCGUGCCUAACACAUGCAAGUCGAACGGAGUUAAGUGCUUCGGUAUUUAACUUAGUGGCGAACGGGUGAGUAACGCGUGAGAAACCUGCCUUUCAGUGGGGGACAACAGUUGGAAACGACUGCUAAUACCGCAUGAUACUUUUUGGGGUCGAUCCCUCGAAAAGUACAAAGACUUUAUGUGCUGAAAGAAUGGUCUCGCGUCUGAUUAGCUAGUUGGUGAGGUAACGGCCCACCAAGGCGACGAUCGGUAGCCGGACUGAGAGGUUGAACGGCCACAUUGGGACUGAGACACGGCCCAG